GCCAUCAAUCGGUCGCAUAAUAUACUAUUUUGUAAGCGCAUGACCUGAAUAUACAUUUUUUCGCGCCGCUGGCGUCAGUCGUCUUCUAGAUUUUAUGGAAAGUGCACGUGGCGAGGUCGAUUUUUUUUUUUCAUGUAUUGUUUUGAUAAGUUUUUUUGAGUGAUUUAUAAACCCUAAAGAUGUCAAGAAGACGAACAAGAAAGAGCCAAAAAGGAACCUUUAAAGAAGAAAAUAUGAAAAGAAGCAAGUUUUAGUAGGAAUAAAUGGAGUUAAGUUGUCUCUUAGGAAAGCUGCAGAAGAAAACAAUUUAUCGUUUCAAACGUUGCAAAGGUAUGUUAAAAAAGAACAAAAUAAAGCCAAUCCAAAUGACAUUGUUUCAAUGAAAAGCAAUUAUAAGCAUCGCCUCGUUUUUAAUGAAGAGGAAGAGAAGGAUUGAGUCAAUUACAUUAUUAAAUGUUCGAAAAUGUGCUAUGGGAAAACUACAAAAGAUACCCGUGUUUUGGCAUAUGAGAUGGCCCAAAUUAAUAAAAAAAACAUUCCGUUAUCUUGGAAUAAGAAUAAAUCUGCUGGUAUCGACUGGUUACAGGUUUUUUUUUUUAAAAGACAUGCAAAAGAAUUAAGCAUACGUCAACCAGAAGGAUGUAGUCUUUGAAAAGCAACUUCGUUGAACAAACAUAAUAUAAAUUUAUUUUUUGAUAACCUUGAAAAAGCGUAUAGUCGAAGUUUUCUGAUGGUACACGGAUUUAUAACCUAGACGAAACUGGAACAAUAACUGUUCAAAAACCAAAAAAAGUUCUGUCGUCGAAAUUUAUCAAACAAGUAAGUCAAUGUACAGUGGAGAACGAGGAGUUUUGAUUACAACAUGUCGCAUAAUAAGUGCUACUGGUAAUACACUGCCCCUAAUAAUGGUGUUCCCCAGAAAAAAAUUUAAAAAUCAUAUGUUAAACGGGGCACCGGCAGGAACAGAACAAUGAAGUAGAAGUAAAGUUUUUGCGGAAGUCGGUAAUAUUCAGCGGACACUUCGUGUAUCCUUUGGAACCUGAUGUAGGAAUGGUUCCUUUAAAUGACGUUAAAAUGAUUUUACCGCCACCAUCUCAUUUGGGUAAAACAAAACGUUUACAGGAAUAUCUAAAAUUCGAAAUUCAGUUUAGUAAUAUAAAUUUACGCUAAAGUUCUUUUUUUACCAAUAAAAAUAAAUGAUUGUUUGAUUUUUGGUAUAUUUUACAUUGACAAAUCUUAUAUUUUUGUGUUUUUUUCGUUUAAGUACAUAUUUUUAGUUGUCAAAACCGCCAUUUAAUAAAGUUUUGUAAUAAA